AAAAAAUUAAAAUUUUAGCUGGAUUUUGUGGCUGUCUAAGCACUCACAAAAUCAACCCUUUGUGAGGGUAAAGGCCGCCACGAAGGCAAGCCAUUUAUGGCCACCCGGACCGCCACAAAAGAAUAGAUCCGUUGCAUUUUGUGGCGGCAAAGGCCGCCACAAAUUCCCAUAGUUCCGUUGCACGUUGUGGCCGCUCAGGCUGCCACAAAGGACUUAACUUGUGACCGUUAAAGCCGCCACAAAGGAUUUUGUACCGUUGGCUUUUGUUGCUGCUUUGGCUGCCACAAAGGAUCAACCAUUUUCUAUAAAUAUCCCUCCACUACUCUUAUCAUUUUUCACUUCUACCUUCUCUCUAAACAUUCUUUCUAAAUUUUGUCUCCACCUUUUCUCUACAACAAUUAUUUCUCCAAGUUUUUUCUUUACUAUCUUGAAUUUUGUGGUGAUAUAUUGUGUUUACUUAGAAGAGUUGUCAGCUCUGUGAAAGCUUCAAGUCAGACACUACCUGACAUCAAUGGUGAUAUAUUGUGUUUACUUAGAAGAGUUGUCAGCUCUGUGAAAGCUUCAAGUCAGACACUACCCGACAUCAAUUCUUACAGGUUAAUAAGUCUUGAAGUUCAAGUUUGGGAG